rnacentral:tRNA from 1 species
GCGUCCCCCUCCUAAGGGGAAGGCCACAGGUUCGACUCCUGUCAGGGACACCA